UCCCUGGUGGACUAGAGCUAGCAUGUGGCGUUCUCAUCGCCAUGUUCCGGGUUCGAUUCCCGGUCAGGGAA
rnacentral:tRNA from 1 species